UGUAAUUCACCGAAUCGUACAGAUUUGAUCCGGUGUGAUGGCGUCCACAGUAAUGAAUCCAUCGACAAACAUGAAUUCUGAUCGAAGGAAGAUGAUGAUGAAGAAGAAGAAACCGAUGAUCAAAGAGAAUCAGAUCAACCAGAGCCACACCAGAUGGAAAUCAGAGACACAGCAGCAGAUCUUUUCCUCGAAACUCGUUGAAGCUUUGAGUCAUCUCAGUCUGGAAAACGGUUCCACUCCUUCUCUUUCGGCUCCACGCGGUGGUCGAGCUGUACGUGAAGCUACUGAUAAAGCUUUGGCCAUCACGGCUAAAGGAAAAACCAGGUGGAGUCGAGCCAUUUUAACGGGCCGGCUUAAGCUGAAGUUUCGAAAAAGAGGAUCUGCCGCUGAUGUGGCGGCCAUCACCGGGAUAGCCGGUCGAAGAAACCGAGAGUUAGCAUUUCGAAAUUGAAAGCGAGAAGUACACCGAAUGUUCUAAGGAAAGUGAAAGUUCUUGGACGAUUAGUUCUCGGUUGCCGAAAGGAACCAUUACCAGUUAUUCUUGAAAAAGCUACUGAUUACAUAGCAACACUUGAGAUGCAAGUUCGAGCCAUGACCACUCUCGCCGAGUUGCUAUCUGGUUCCGCCGCCAGCUCUAGCUCAGUCCCUCCGCCUCAUUCGCCGCCGCCGACUAGGCAGUGACACUUUUCUUUGUUAUAAUUUCCAAGUGUCAC